UACGGUUUUAGGUGUUCUUUUUAUUUUAAUAAUACGUUGAUAAAUUACUAAUUUUUUCAAUUUUUUUUCUUAUCACAAAGCUAGUUCGUCUUUGUGUAUGUUUAAAUUUAUAUUUUUUUUAUAGUUAUUGUGCUGUUUAACUUUCUUAUAAAAGAGAGUGAGGAAUUAAAAAGGUGGCCACCGAACAGAAAGUUAAACUGCAAUAUACUAUAAUCUUUUUAGUUCAUGUUUACAUUUUUAACUGAUAAAUUAUGAAUAUAAAAUUUCAAAUUAAUUUAAAUUCAAAAAUAAAAGAACACCAACAUAGAUUUCUUAAACAUUAAAAUUUUACUAUAAAUUUAAAUUACAUUUAAUCAGCACAUUAUUUGAAGUUUUAUAGGAACCGAACAUUUGGCUGGAUCAUGGACUACCCACCGACGGAGAAUUUGUCAUUGAGCUGAAGGAAAAUGUGUCAGCACUCGGCUUCGUUUCAACCCGGAGGAAGAUUGGCAGCAUCAAUAAGAAGCUCAUCUUAAUGUCAACUGUCCAAAGGAUUUGUUUUGAAGAAGAUUUUGUCACAAAGCUGAUGGAAAAUGUGUCAGCACUCGGCUGUAUUUCAACACAAAGGACGUCUAGCAGCAGCAAAAAGAAAUUCAACUGAUAAUCAACUGUCCAAAGGAUUUUGAAGAAGAAUUUGUCAGAAAGCUGAUGGGAAAUGUGUCGGCACUCGGUUUCGUUUCAACCCGGAGGAAGAUUGGCAGCAUCAAAAAGAAGAUCACUUAAUUUAGUUGUCCCCCCUUUACGCAUUAGCGCUCAUCUCUCAUCCACUCAUCCAACACAUUGACUACGCCGGCCGGCAACACACAUAUAUUAUACACAUUACCCGUUUUAUAUUAUAUAGUAUUAUUAAUAUCCACAUAGUUUAAGUUAUUGUAUAUUUUUUUUUAUUAUUUGAAUGCAUUCAUAUGAUCAAUGGCGUAUUUAGGAAUUUUAUGAUAAAGGCAACACAUAUUUUGCAGCCUCCCUCCCCAUUAAAAAAAAAUUAAAAAACUUCUACGCCGCGCAAUGGUGAAACUGUUAAUACCAUAGAAUACCAUGUUAUAUAAAUACUAUAUAGUAUUUUAUACCUCUAUGGCAAUGGCACACAUUUGUUGUGAAAAUUAUUAAUUAUUGACGUCACUGCGCCAGUACUCAUAAAGUACGAAAUUCGCCGUUCUGGACAACUAGACCCAAAGCCCCUACCUAAAUACGCCCCUGAAUAUAAUGCGUUCUCGCUUACGAUGUGGAUUAGGCCUACUGGGGACACCACAAUAAAAAAACGCGCCUCGUGUAAUACCUCAUAAAGUUAUUAAACAAUACGGACAAUGUUAUUGUACGUCGUUUAAUAAUAAAGGUGGUGUGGAAAAUUACCUAACACUGUUAUUCUUAUCUUAUAGUUACCUUGCAUACAUUUUUUUUAUU